AUUGAACGCUGGCGGCAUGCUUUACACAUGCAAGUCGAACGGUAACAGGCCGCAAGGUGCUGACGAGUGGCGAACGGGUGAGUAAUGCAUCGGAACGUGCCCAGUCGUGGGGGAUAACGCAGCGAAAGCUGCGCUAAUACCGCAUACGAUCUAUGGAUGAAAGCGGGGGACCGUAAGGCCUCGCGCGAUUGGAGCGGCCGAUGUCGGAUUAGGUAGUUGGUGGGGUAAAGGCUCACCAAGCCAACGAUCUGUAGCUGGUGUGAGAGGACGACCAGCCACACUGGGACUGCGACACGGCCCAGACUACUACGGGAGGCAGCAGUGGGGAAUUUUGGACAAUGGGCGCAAUCCUUAUCCAGCAAUGCCGCGUGCAGGAAGAAGGCCUUCGGGUUGUAAACUGCUUUUGUACGGAACGAAAAGGCUCUGGUUAAUACCUGGGGCUCAUGACGGUACCGUAAGAAUAAGCACCGGCUAACUACGUGCCAGCCGCCGCCGUAAUAG
rnacentral:rRNA from 1 species